GUUUGUGGCUCAGUGUAGAGCGCUUGCUUAGCAUGCAUGAGGCACUGGGUUCAAUCUCUAGCAUCACA
rnacentral:tRNA from 1 species